rnacentral:rRNA from 1 species
UGGGGAAUUUUGGACAAUGGGCGAAAGCCUGAUCCAGCAAUGCCGCGUGUGUGAAGAAGGCCUUCGGGUUGUAAAGCACUUUUGUCCGGAAAGAAAUCCUUGGCUCUAAUACAGUCGGGGGAUGACGGUACCGGAAGAAUAAGCACCGGCUAACUACGUGCCAGCAGCCGCGGUAAUACGUAGGGUGCAAGCGUUAAUCGGAAUUACUGGGCGUAAAGCGUGCGCAGGCGGUUUGCUAAGACCGAUGUGAAAUCCCCGGGCUUAACCUGGGAACUGCAUUUGUGACUGGCGGGCUAGAGUAUGGCAGAGGGGGGUAGAAUUCCACGUGUAGCAGUGAAAUGCGUAGAGAUGUGGAGGAAUACCGAUGGCGAAGGCAGCCCCCUGGGCCAAUACUGACGCUCAUGCACGAAAGCGUGGGGAGCAAACAGGAUUAGAUACCCUGGUAGUCCACGCCCUAAACGAUGUCAACUAGUUGUCGGGUCUUCAUUGACUUGGUAACGUAGCUAACGCGUGAAGUUGACCGCCUGGGGAGUAACGGUCGCAAGAUUAAAAACUCAAAAGGAAUUUGACGGGGGUUCAUAGCUGUUUCCUG